AUUGAACGCUGGCGGCAGGCCUAACACAUGCAAGUCGAGCGGAUGAAGGGAGCUUGCUCCUGGAUUCAGCGGCGGACGGGUGAGUAAUGCCUAGGAAUCUGCCUGGUAGUGGGGGAUAACGUCCGGAAACGGGCGCUAAUACCCCAUACGUCCUGAGGGAGGAAGGGGGGGAUCUUCGGACCUCCCGCUAUCAGAUGAGCCUAGGUCGGAUUAGCUAGUUGGUGGGGUAAAGGCCUACCAAGGCGACGAUCCGUAACUGGUCUGAGAGGAUGAUCAGUCACACUGGAACUGAGACACGGUCCAGACUCCUACGGGAGGCAGCAGUGGGGAAUAUUGGACAAUGGGCGAAAGCCUGAUCCAGCCAUGCCGCGUGUGUGAAGAAGGUCUUCGGAUUGUAAAGCACUUUAAGUUGGGAGGAAGGGCAGUAAGUUAAUACCUUGCUGUUUUGACGUUACCAACAGAAUAAGCACCGGCUAACUUCGUG
rnacentral:rRNA from 1 species